GAUGAAGAACGUAGCGAAAUGCGAUAAGUAAUGUGAAUUGCAGAAUUCAGUGAAUCAUCGAAUCUUUGAACGCACAUUGCGCCCCUUGGUAUUCCGAGGGGCAUGCCUGUUCGAGCGUCAUUAUCACCCCUCAAGCUUUGCUUGGUGUUGGGGCCUGCUGUAAUAGGCAGCCCUUAAAAUCAGUGGCGGUGCUUCAAGGCUCUAAGCGUAGUAAUUCUCCUCGCUAUAGUGUCUAGUGGUUGCCAGCCAGAACCCCCCAUUUUUUAUGAUUGACCUCGGAUCAGGUAGGGAUACCCGCUGAACUUAAGCAUAUCAAUAAGCGGAGGA
rnacentral:misc_RNA from 1 species